GUUGAACCUGAGGCUCUGCAUCAUCUCCUCUUCUUGUCUGACCUUUUUCGCGCUUUAUUCUAUCUGCCUGCUUCUGAUGCAGUCUAGCUCUUUUCUGGAAUAUUUUAUCCUCAUAACUUCCAACAGCUUGAAUAAAAUGUUCAACUCUUUGCAAAUUUGGCUUGCUUCCAUCAGUCAAAUACCCACCAAGUGCCCUAAAUUCCUUCUUGUACACAGCCAAUAGCAAGUUAAUUGCGCCCUCCCGAAUCUCUAAUGUGGGCAUAUGGGGUAAAAAGUCGUUGCCAACAAAAAAACACAUGAACACAAAAUCAUCCACAAUACGUUCAAUGUCGAUUUCAAAGGGAGGAUUAGGAAUACGCAUCUCAUGUUCCAAGUACUCUCUAAGUGUCCAUAUAUGGAGAAACUGGUAAGGUUUUUUAACUACAACGUCUUCACCUUUCUCAUCAAACUCUCCAGCCUUUCUCUUGGCUUUACCCUCA
rnacentral:misc_RNA from 1 species